CAUCGUCUUGUGCUUUUGGUCUCCAUCUCCAAAGCAACGUCAUGAUCUCCAUCGUCACCGUCUCAACACCUUGAUCGCCGUCGUAGCAUCGUGGUUGUCUCGCCAACUAUUGCUUCUACAACUAUCGCUACCGCUUAGUGAUAAAGUAAAGCAAUUACACGACAUUUGCAUUUCAUAGAAUAAAGCAACAACCAUAAGGCUCCUGCCAGUUGCCGAUAACUUUUACAAAACAUGAUCAUCUCAUACAAUAAUGUAUAUCACAUCAUGUCUUGACGAUAUCACAUCACAACAUGCCCUGCAAAAACAAGUUAGAUGUCAUCUACUUUGUUGUUGCAAGUUUUACGUGGCUGCUAUAGGCUUCUAGCAAGAACCGUUCUUCCCUACGGCACAAAAACCACAACGGUGAUUUAUCAAGUUUGCUGUUUUAAUCUUCAACAAGGACCGGCCGCAGUCAAGUUUGAUUCAACUAAAGUAGGAGAAAUAGACACCCGCGAGCCACCUGUAUGCAAAACUAGUAUCAUGUCUGUCAGUGGAACCGGUCUCACGAAUGUGGUCAUGUAAGAUUGGUCUGGCCGCUUCAUCCAACAAUACUGGACAUUGGUGGUAAGCAGUAUGACGAUCAACGCGCACAAUUCUUUGUGUUCUACUCAUGCAUAUCAUCUACGCAUAAACCUGGCUCGGAUGCCACUAUUGGGAAAUGUAGCAUGCAGUUUCAAAAAAGGUCCUACGCUCAUGCAAGAUCUAUCUAGGAGAUGCAUAGCAACGAGAGGGGGAGAGUGUGUCCAUGUACCCUUGUAGACCGAAAGCAGAAGCAUUUGUUAACGCGGUUGAUGUAGUCGAACUUCUUCUUGUUCCGACCGAUCAAGCACCGAACGUAUGACACCUCCGAGUUCUACACACGUUCAGCUCGAUGACGUCCCUCAAACUCUUGAUCCAGCAAAGUGUCGAGGGAGAGCUGGUUAGCACGACAGUGUGGUGACGGUGAUGGUGAAGUGAUCCAUGCAGGGCUUCACCUAAGCACUACGUGAAUAUGAUCAGAGGCGUAAAUUGUGGAGGGGGGCACCGCACACGGCUAGGAAUCAAUGAUGUGUGUUCUAGGCGCCUCCCGCCUUCAUAUACAUAUAUAUAGGUGGGAGGGAGAGGGGGAAGCCAAGGGGGCGCCCAAGUAGGAGGAAUCCUACUUGGGGCUCUAAUCCUAUUCACCCCCCUUACCAUAAUUCCCGAAGGGGGAAGCGAGGAGGAGGCCGGGGGGAGAAGGAGGGGGGAGUCCGAAUCCCUCCCCUUCCUUUCUCUCUUCUCCUCUUUCGUCCCCCCCUCUAUUUCGGCCUACAUGAGGCGCACCAGCCCCUUAGGGGCUGGUCUGUCCCACUCUUGGCCCAUUAGGCCCAUGUAGUUGCCGGGGGCAUGCCUGGAACCCCUUCCGGUGACCCGAUACGUACCCGGAACACUUCUGGUGUCCGAAUACUAUCGUACUAUAUAUAAAUAUUCACCUCUGGACCAUUUCGAGACUCCUCGUUAUGUCCGUCAUCUCAUUCAGGACUCUGAACAACAUUCAGUCACCAAAUCACAUAACUCAUAUAAUACAAAAUCGUCAUUGAACGUUAAGCAUGCGGACCCUAUGGGUUCGAGAACUAUGUAGACAUGGCCGAGACACCUCUCUGGUCAAUAACCAAUAGUGGAACCUGGAUGCUCAUAUUGGCUCCCACAUAUUUUACGAAGAUCUUUAUCGACCGAACUAUUAUGACAACAUACGUUAUUCCCCUUGUCAUUGGUAUGUUACUUGCCCGAGAUUCGAUAGUUGGUAUUUUCAUACCUAGUUCAAUCUCAUUACCGGCAAGUCUCUUUACUCAUUACGUAAUGCAUCUUCCCGCAACUAACUCAUUAGUCACAUUGCUUGCAAGGCUUCUUAUGGUGUGCAUUAUCGAGAGGGCCCAGAGAUACCUCUCCGAUACUCAGAGUGACAAAUCCUAAUCUCGAUCCAUGCCAACCCAACAAGCACCUUCGUAGAUACCUGUAGAGCAUAUUUAUAAUCACCCAGUUACAUUGUGAUGUUUGAUAGCACACAAGGCAUUCCUCCGGUAUCCGGGAGUUGCAAAUCUCAUAGUUAGAGGAAUAUGUAUUUGACAUGAAGAAAGCAGUAGCAAUAAAACUGAACGACCAUGAUGCUAAGCUAACAGAUGGGUCUUGUCCAUCACAUCAUUCUCCUAAUGAUGUGAUCUCGUUCAUCAAAUGACAACACAUGUCUAUGUCUAGGAAACUUAACCAUCUUUGAUUAACGAGCUAGUCAAGUAGAGGCAUACUAGGGACACGAUGUUUUGUCUAUGUAUCAACACAUGUAUCAAGUUUCCGGUUAAUACACUUCUAGCAUGAAUAAUAAACAUUUAUCAUGAAUAAGGAAAUAUAAAAUAACAACUUUAUUAUUGCCUCUAGGGCAUAUUUCCUUCAUGUACAAGUUCUCCAAAGUUGUGGUUAUACUGUUUGGCCCGCAGUACUUGAGAGCACCAAAUAUUGCGGAUACAGCCCGGUUGUUGGCGAUCAAUGAAUCGAGAGUGAUGGGGAUAUGGAUACCUUGGAUACGACCAAAAAUAUUACAAUUUUUUUGGUCUUAUCCAAGGUAUCCAUGUCCUCAUCAGAGAGGGUUUCAGGUAAUGCUUGGUAGCAUAGAUUGUAUGCACUGGGAGGAGAAGAACUGUCCAUUUGCUUGGAAAGGGCAAGAUAAGAGGCAUGUUAAAGCUUGCACGGUCAUAUUUGAAGCUGUGACAUUACAAGAUCUCUAGAUUUGACACUCUUUUUUGGGAUAGCAGGCUCUCACAAUGACAUCAACAUGCUUCAGCAGUCUUCAGUGUUCACAAGGCUUUCAAGGCAACUCCCCAGAGGUCAACUUUGAGGUCAAUGGCUACCAAUACAAUAGGGGAUACUACAUAUCUGAUGUUAUUUAUUCUCAAUAGUCAACUCUUGUGAAGAUAAUCUCCAAGCCGGUAGGAAAGAAGAGAGCUAGGUUUGCCCAAUCACAAUAGGGUACUAGGAAGGAUGUGGAGCGUGCUUUUCGUGUGCUCCAAUCUCGAUGGCUAUUGUUCGACACUCUUCUAGAAUACGGAGCAUUCAAAAGAUGUGGGAGGUGAUGAUUGCUUGUCUGAUCAUGCACAACAUGAUCAUAGAGGAUGAGCAUGAUGACAGCCUCUUCGACCAAGGUGGCAUUUCCGGGGUGAAAAUGUUGAGCCGGAGCAUGGAGCGACAAUGUUCGCACAGUUCGCCCAAUUUCAACCAAAAAUGUGUGAUUGGACAACUCACAUUCAAUUUCAAAAUGAUUUGGUUGAGCAUGUGUGGACUCACCUAGGAAACCAAUAGAUGCAUUGACUCUUUUCUAAUGUGCAUGGUACAAUUUUUAAUUUAUUUGAUGUAAACUAUGAGAUUUUAUUUGGCUAUAAAUUAUUUAUUGUGAUGUAAAAAGUACAUAAUUUAUUUGGUUGCAAACUAUGUGCAAUGUUUCUUUAAUUCUUUUUAUCUGUAUUUAUAUGUGUAAGUGCAUCUAGUGCCACCCCUAGUUGGUUUUGGAGUAUUGACGACAAAGUUGGUUGAGGGACUAAUGCGUUUCUGAGAAUUGCAGGAUAACGCAGGUAGUGUCCCUCAUUGAUUCGGUUUACCUACCGGAGAUGACCCCUAAAAAUGUAUGAAGACAUUGACGACAAUGGUGGUAUGUGAAGAUAUUCACAUUGAAGACUAUGACAUGAGAAGACAAUGAGUGAAGACUAUGGAGCACGAAGAAUGUGUUGUUUCGUUGUUUCCUUUUCUUCUUUGUUGAGUCAUAGGAACCACCGUACUGUUAAGUGGGGUCCAAGUGAACAAAGUCAGAGUGACUGAAGUGAUGCUCAACCCAAAUCCUAUGUCUUCGGGCGAAGACAAUGAGAGCAAAUCUUAUCCAGAGCUGGAUGAGUCAGCUUUGCUUGUAGCCCAAGUAAAGUUGCCGUGUGUGUUUGAAAUCUGACCGUUGGAACACGUGUCAGUUCCUUAGUGACCCAGGGUCAUUUCAGACAUAUCAGGUCGGGUUGCCUUGUGGCUAUAAAUAGCCCACCCCCUUCACCAUAAAUUGGUGGCUGCUCAGAGUUAGUUUACGACUUUUGUCGUUUUGAGAGCAACCCACCUCGAAGCCUUUGAGAGAGAAAUCCUUGCGAGGACAAAGCCCAAACACCCAGAGCCAAAGAGUGUUAGGCCUCACUGAAGUAUUUCUGUCUGUGUGACCUGAAGACUUAUUACACAUGAGGACUGUGUAUCCUUCAGCCGGUUAGGCGUCGCGUUCUGAGCAUCCAAGAGUCAUUGUGGAUCGCCAGUGAACGAAGUCUGUGAAGGUUCGGAAGUCUACCUUGAAGACUUACUAGAGUGAUUGGGCGAGGACUGUGUGUCCUUAGCUCAAGGCGAAUAAGGUGAAGACGCGGUCUUCUGAGUUGAAUCCCAGCCUCCCUAACCAGACGUACAGUUGUCAUAGCAACUGGAACUGGUCCAACAAAUCCUGUGUCUUCAACAAGUGACUGGUUAUAUCCCUUCCCUCCCUUUACUUUGAGUUUGUCUUCGUGAAGUCACUACCUAUUUGUCUUAUCUGUUUGACUUCAUUGCUUGACUACUAUCAUUGAUUGGCUUCAUACUAUCUUCCAUCCUGAUCCUUACUACCUAGCUGCUAUUAGUCUUUGUACGUUCACAUUAUUGCAUACUUGAUUAUGGCUUGCUUGUUGUAGUUUAUCUUCCGCUGCAUAUCAAUUAGGUCAUUUCUAUUGCUUGUCUUCAAAACUUCCAUAUUUUGAAGACUUGAUAAAAAUCGCCUAUUCACCCCCCCUCUAGUCGAUAACUAGCACUUUCAAUAUGCGUAGAAUAUCUGUGAAAAUUUGGCCGCGCAGCUGGCCAGCCAGACCAAAUGGGUCAGCCGGUUGGGCGCACUGCCAAAAAAAGCGGACGAAGUCGGCCGCCGUCCCCACAAUUGAUCCAAACGAAUAAAAAAGGAUCAAAUACACCCGCUUGUGUCGGCACAUUGGAGAUACCUUGUGACUUUGCUGGUUUUGGAAGGCCUCAAACACUUGUGGCAUGUUUGGUUCAUAUACGAAGCUUACCACCAUUUACCAGAUUUCUUUGCCACACAAUGCCUAAGGUUAUACAAUCAAAACUCGUACCACAGUUUGUCACAUUUGAGACAAACUUGCCACAGUUUUUUGACUUAAUAAUGGCAUGUGGGGUCUAGUUUACAUGAAAGCAAUCUUGCCACGAGUGUGGCUACAAACCAAACAUAAGCUAACUCAGUCACACUUAUCUAACUUUGACGUGGCAAAGUGUGACUAAGUUUAGUAUGUCAUCUAAGCACGCCUUUAGCAAUGAAGCAAUGGCAACCCAUAGGCACACUAACCGGAAAGAUUAGGCACAUUUGCCGGCUAUGCCAGUUUUGGAAGGCCGCAAGUACUCCAUCUAUUCUACUCCAUCCGUUUCAAAAAUUUUGUCUUAGAUUUGUCUAGAUACGGACGUAUGUCCAUAUCUAGACAAAUCUAAGACAAGAAUUUUGGAACGGAGGGAGUAUAAUGUAAUGUAUAUUUAUUUAAAUCAAAUUUUGCAAACUUUAUAGGUAUAUUUUUUAAAUCAAACUUUGCAAACUUUAUAGAGAAAACUAUUCAUAUCUACAAUAUCAAAUAUAGAACUGCUUCUUAUAAUGAAUCUAAUGAUAUAUGCUUAGUAUUUUAGAUGUAAAUGUUUUCUCCCAAAAACUUGAUCAAAGUUUGCGAGGUUUGAUUUUUCAAGAAAACAUACAUGCACUACAUUAUAGAACAGCGGGAGUGUUUCUCAGUGUCAGAUUCCACAUAGUUAUGGUGAAAGAGAAAAGUGUGAUAAGUAAAGACCUGGCUAGUACUAAAAUGCCCGCCAAACUACUCCCUUUGUUUCUAAACAUAAAACUUUUUAAAGAAUCCAAUACAGAACAUAUACAGAUGUAUAAGGAUAUAUUUCAGAGUAUAUUUUGCUUCAUAUGUAGUCCGUAUCAAAAUCUUUAAAAAGACUUAUAUUUAAAAACGGAGUACAACACAGGGAAAAUAAAUGUUGCCGUGCCAUAUAAAAGCUCGAAAAGCCAACACAAAAAGGAAGUUCGGAAAGCUACUCGCCUUGGCGUUUUAAUAAAAGUCGGGGCAGAGGGGCGAAUCAACAUGUGGUUGGAUGGUUAGAGGGACUGUGGUAUCCCCAGCCCAUCAGGGUUCAAAUCCUGGUGCUCGCAUUUAUUUCUGGAUUUAUUUCAGGAUUUCCGGCGAUGUGCAUUCAGUGGGAGGAGGCGUUCCCGUCGACGACGAGGCGCCUACGAUGACUUCGUAUGGUGUGCAUGUGUGCGUUCAUAGAGGUGAGUGUAUGCGCGUGUAUAUGAGCGCUUGUGUCUGUACUGAUGUUAAAAAAAAGUCGGGGCUGAGGGGAAACCCCUUUGAUUUCAAUUUUUUUUAGAAAGCUAUGCUUAGUUGCUUACAGAGAGGAGAAAUAGGGACAGCUACCGUAACUUUGAUUUUAGAUUCUUAUGUUUGUUUUUUGCAGGUUUAAGUUUUAUUCCAAAGUAACAGGCUUUACAGUCCGCUAAUACAAUUCGGAUUGCAAUAUAACACCUGAAAAUGUUUGAUUUACCCACACAAACACAACAACACGUACCGUAACUUUAGGAAUUGCAGCAUGCACACUCCACUAGUAAUUGCUGAAGAAGCAACUCUCAACAUACUGUAGUAACUUCUCACCAAAUGGUCUCAAGUUUUCAGUAACAGCCCUCGCAUCUUAACGGAGAAAAGUGAUUCUGAAACGAGCAAUGCUACACGCACGGGGUGAUCUUUACUGAGAUUUAUGGAGAUGGUUAGCUGGGAUAACUUGAUUGGAAGGAAAGGAGAUGAGGGGCCCACACCCCCUAAAAAUCAGGGGGCGGUGAAGAUUAGUUAACGAAGGAAUCGUGUAAAACGCCCUUAUUACUCCGUUAGUCCAGAAUUUUCGUUCUGAAACCAUUCAGAAAAGUAUUUAGGCAGCAGAGGGAGGAGUGAUUUACAGCGUCCCACAGUGUCUGAUUUUGCCACGGUCGGCGGCGGCGCACUCGGCGCAGCAGGGAUUUGUCAUGCCCACAACACGUAUAGUAUUGCAAUGGCAGAAAAACGGUUCAACCGGUCGCAAGACGGCUCAUGUUGCAAACCUUCGAGUACAAUAUGAGUCAUGUUGCACACAACUGGGCGCUGAGAUCAGGUGACUGCCAUGUCUUUUUUUUUUUUUUGCGGGUGAGGUGACUGCCAUGUCACUUGCGUCAUCCAACAGUUACAAAGGCAGCCGGUCCAAUCCAAACAUCACCAGGCCGACACGUGUUGCCGCCAAGUUAUAUGCUUUUUUUUUCUGGCAAGUUGCUCGUACUGGUAGUAUAAUAAAGAAUUUGCUCGUAACUUCAACUUGUUUUCUCCUAACUGUGCAUCAACACUGAAGUCUCUUUAUGCUUUCAGAGCAAGUAUAGUAAGGUCUAGUCAGCAGGCUGUAGCAGAUGCCAUGUCAUUGAAAUCUUAGGUGGAAGAGAGAGAAAGAAGGAGAGAGGGCAGCGGGCGCUAUGUUAGGAAUAAAAUUAAUUAGGAUUAAUUGUAAUUAGAACCGUCAUUAGACGGUUGUGUGUCCACCGCCUUUCCUGUUCCGUGCGGACGCAUGUGCCCGUACGGGCACGUCCCUUUGUAAUUACCGCCUUAAUUGGCGACUGUUGAGAGGGUAUAUAUACCCCAAUCAUCAUCAAUGAAAUCCAGAGAUUCAUUCUUAAUCAGUUUACUUUAACACGUUAUCAUGCACUUUGCUCUCCGAUCGAGCGACUCGCAUAGGGAAAGAGAAGAACGAGGAUAAACAGGGGGCAUCAGCCUUCAUCGAUUCAAAUUUCCGAACACACGGGAAAAUAGUUCGUCCAUUCACUUUCAUUCUUCAUGCUGUAGGCCAAAAAGAAGACAGAGGAUUGAGGAGAAAAAUCGUCCUCACAGACGAAACACCAAGUUCGGCCAAGAACAGAAGAAGAGAAAAGGGGAUCACAUGAAAAAUAACGAGGAUCUGGGCCGCCCCUUCUCCAAGACGAUGAAGCAUUAAUUUAUACAAACACCAAACUCUCGAUCUUAAUUGCUACAUCAUCAGGUGACCAUAUUCCAUUCUUUUUGCUCUUGCACACAAGACGCACUAACCUCCACGCCGAAGUUCUCAACGCCGGCCCGACGCUGCUUCCCCUGGCACGAGGGCACCCGGGGCUAGAGGCCCCCGGCCUUCCCAGCAGCAUCCUCCAGCGCUCGUCCGAGCGACCACCUAAGGCGCUGCAACCGCACCCGAAGAUCAUCGGCGCUCGACGCGAGUGGGCGGCCAACGUACUCCGGUGCGGCACAGUUUCCUGCGCAUGGCGGUGCCCUCAGGCGUUGUGCGACACGGCCUCGCUUCCCAAGCAGCGGCGGUGGCGCAACUACCGGCCGGUUCGCACUGAGCGGCGGCGGUUACCAGUGGCCAGGAAGCACACACGGGAGAAGAAAUUGGGGAUUUCUUAUCUCUUUGGUGGAUUUUCAAUUCAGCCCUUAGAUUCGAGCCUAAUCUAGUAUAAGUCCCUUAAAAUAUCUGUGUAAACCACAGUUUAACAGGUCUCUGCCGUUUAGCCCUCUGGCUUACUGCAUUUUAGAACCGGGCCAUUAGGCCAAUGGACUUUGCUGUUUAGUACUCGAACUUACUCUUUUCAACAAUUUAACCCUAUGGUUAUCGUAGUUUACAAUCUAAGCCCUCGGCUAUAGAAAAAUGUAUGUGGUUGACCUCAGUUCAUCCUAAAUUUCAUACAACUUAAU
rnacentral:lncRNA from 1 species